GGGGGCGGGAGAGAGAGAGACGGAAGGGGAGAGAAAAGCGCAGAUCCAAAGGCAGAGAGACAACCCAGAAGCAGAAGCAAGAAAAGGAAGAAACGAAUCAGUUUCUACCAUUUAAACGCACCUACGCGAAACAAACAAGGAGCAAGGAGGGGGACAGGACAUACUUGCAUCAGAUAGAAGCAAAAGAAUGGCAACGGUGGUACAGGGGAAGAGAGAGAGCCGCCAUUCGAACCCCCGAUAGCAACACACUAGCUCCCAUACCAACUUCAGUCUUUAAUCAUGGGAAACGAAGCUUCUGAGCUCACUUAUGGCAGCAUUAACAGCUGCAACAGCAAAGCAGGAGGCAGCUCACGAGACUACAGAGGAAGGUUCGAACAAAUCUGCAACGAAGAAACAGAGGAAGAGGACCUUGAAGCAUCCACACAGCAACACGGACAGAACCCACACACCUGUCGACGUCGAGCUAACCAGCGGAGAAGGAAGGAUCGAGAACGCCGGUGAACCCGAUCGCUGGGAUAGGAGAAGAGCAGAGGCGGUGGAUUUUUUUUUUUUUCCCUAAAUUUCUCUCUCUCUCUCGUCCGGUGUGUUUUCGAAAGUGAGAUGAGAAAGAGAAAUAAAAAUCUGAUCUAAGAAGAAUUGAAAAAAUUACAAUAAAAAGCUUAAAACAA